CAUUAUUAAAUAAUUUGUAUUCUGAAACAUAAUUCAAACCAGAAAAAGAAACAACUCAUUAGAUUAUCUUCUCUUUCUUCUUUUCUAAUGCUCUCUUUUUUAACCUUCCAUCGUCAUUAUCGCUCUCGUAUUUUUUUAAGAUUAGAGUUGUGAUCAGGCGAUGGAACUUGCACGAGGCAAAACCUACAUAAUUUUGAAAUGAUUUUGAAUUUUAUAAAACGAGGAGGAAACUAGCCACGCGAUUGGUUAAAUUACGAAACAUUUGCCGCGAACCGUCGCAGAAAUCGAAUAUGAUGCUUCUGAGUAGUAUUUUGUUACGUCAUCAGUGCUUCGUGCAGUAGCUUUCGCAAUUUUGCGACAAGCUUGAGACACGUUCGGUGUAUUACAGUGUAUUAUAAGUUCGUAGCGCUUGGAGGCGGUAGGACGUGUUUUCCCGUCUCUUAAAUUCAACUUGCCGAGCUAAUUUUGUCGUAGAAUUGGUUUUAUUGUUUUUUACGCCUGAAAGAUUAGCCAGCAAUUGAGAGAUUGGAACUGAUAUCCAUCCUUUGCUUACUUAAAAGAUAAGUCGUAUCGUAUGGUGUUUUAGCUGUUAACUUUUCAUCUUGGAGGCUCUUGCAGUUAAUUAAGGGACGUUAGAAGAACUCCAGAUACAAUUAAAUUGUGUCUGUUCUCAUUGGCUCCAAAAAGUGACUGUUUUUAUGGUCAUAAAGAAAGCGUGAAAGUGCCUUUUUCCAUUGGCAACAAAGACAAUGUGCUGAAGGAGGGAUUUAUGACAAUGAACUGAUUAUCCAACGAGGGAGAAGGAAUAAGAGUUAAUUUUGAUGCUACUGGGAGGCUUGGAAGCAGCUGAAACAACAAACUGUGUGCAGUUGUAUCCUUCCUAGGUUUGGUAUGCUCAUCACACUGAUAGACUUUAGGACGCUACUUUCUACAAUUAAUUAAGGUUGUUCAACAAAUGAGAGAGAAUUAAACUGCAAUUUGGUCAUACUGGAACAGUCAAUGUCUGCAUGGGUGUUGUUUUUCGUGGACUGUAUUCUUGAUUUGCUGUUUUCGUCUUCGCCUUGCAACAUUAUUCAGUUCAUUUUCAACACAUGAGUGAAAGCAACUGGACAUUUAUUUGAAUUUCACUGAAAUAAAGAAUUUUAUGCUACUACAGUAUUCCUCCUGGAGUUGGAUUGCUUUUCCCACCUGCAAACUUUGGAACAUUACAGUUUACAGUUAAUUAAGAUCGACGUUGGAGAAGACAAAGAUGACCCCCCAGUUAAAAU